rnacentral:rRNA from 1 species
UGGCGGCGUGCCUAACACAUGCAAGUCGAACGGAAUAUCUUCGGAUAUUUAGUGGCGAACGGGUGAGUAAUGUACAGGUAAUGUACCUUCGUACUGCGAAUAACAAGCUGAAAAGUUUGCUAAUACGGAAUAGUUUCCUUCGGGGGCAUCCUUAAAGGAAUAAAGAUUUAUCGUGCGGAGAUCAGCCUGUAUCCUAUUAGUUAGUUGGUGGGGUAAUGGCCUACCAAGACGACGAUGGGUAACUGGUCUGAGAGGAUGAGCAGUCACAUUGGAACUGAGAAACGGUCCAAACUCCUACGGGAGGCAGCAGUGAGGAAUUUUGCGCAAUGGGGGAAACCCUGAACCGCAGCAACGCCGCGUGAGUGACGACGGCCUUCGGGUUGUAAAGCUCUGUCGUAUGUGACGAGUAGGGACGGUAACACACAAGGAAGCCUCGGCUAACUACGUGCCAGCCGCCGC